rnacentral:rRNA from 1 species
UACGAAGGGGGCUAGCGUUGCUCGGAAUUACUGGGCGUAAGGGCGCGUAGGCGGACAGUUUAGUCAGAGGUGAAAGCCCAGGGCUCAACCCUGGAAUUGCCUUUGAUACUGGCUGUCUUGAGUACGGGAGAGGUGUGUGGAACUCCGAGUGUAGAGGUGAAAUUCGUAGAUAUUCGGAAGAACACCAGUGGCGAAGGCGACACACUGGCCCGUUACUGACGCUGAGGCGCGAAAGCGUGGGAGCAACAGGAUUGAGAAACCCAG